AUGUCUGGAAAACUCACACGAAUGUGCUGGAUUACAAAUUUUUACAUUCACUACACAGUGAACAUCAGCUACUACGCUUUAGUUUUCGUCUUCAUCGUGAUCGUCACUAGGAUUGUUCAGAGCAGAUGCAUAAAAGCGACUAACAGCAAGAGAAAGACGUUCAGAAAGCAGCUGAUGAUGGUGUUGAGUUUGUUCCUGCUCUUCGGUCUGACGUGGUCUGUGGCGUUCUUCAGUUAUGGACCGAUGCUCACUGAAUCAAAUUACAUCUUCACUGUGCUGAACUUGUUUCAGGGGCUUUUCCUCUUCCUGUAUUACUAUCACGUUCGCAAUGUCAUCGCGGAUAGUUUCACUGAUGAUCCAGAAAGCACCGACUCCACCACAACCAUAACUCAAUCCAGCAUUAAUGCUGUGUAUGAAAAUAUUCAUAACUAGCAUAAUUAAGACAGAAGGCUUUCUGUGUCUCAGACUUUCUUAGACUGAUUUCUUGAUCAAUACUGUAACUGUCUGUAAUUAUUAUUAUUAUUAUUAUUAUUAUUAUUAUUAUUACUGUAAUUUAUUAGCCAUCAUAAUUGUGUGUGAUCAUGUGCAUGUCAGAGGAACUCAAACAACACAGGAUGAAAUUAAUAUCGAUACACCUUUGGAUUCAGAUAUUUGCAUGGUUAUUAAACAUAGUCAUAAUCAUCUGAUGAUUUCUAAAAAAAAAAUUUCAAUCUCUGCAUUUUCUGUAUGUAUUGUAUGUAUUAAUGUUAAUGUUUCAAAUUAAUUUAAAUAUCGGCUAAUAGCCUCUAAUAAAGCUUAUGACAUCAGUGACAUUUUGUUGUUAUUUUAAAUAAUACUUUUCUACAUUUAUAUUUUUCUCUUUGAGCAAAAAAUGGCUUGAUAAACAGGACCUGAAUGUAACCAGAUAAUGAAAUUCAGUUAAAGUCCAAAUAAACUGUUGUGAACACCAGUGAAAAUUCCUAAAUUGACCACAGGAGGUCUCACUCACUUGAGUAUUAACUUUG
rnacentral:lncRNA from 1 species